UACGGAGGGGGCAAGCGUUGUUCGGAAUUACUGGGCGUAAAGGGCGCGUAGGCGGCCAGUUGCGUCGGAGGUGAAAGCCCCGAGCUCAACCUGGGAGGUGCACUUGAUACGGGCUGGCUGGAAUCCGGGAGAGGAUGGUGGAAUUCCCAGUGUAGAGGUGAAAUUCGUAGAUAUUGGGAAGAACACCGAUUGCGUAGGCAAGUUACUAAGCCGUGAUUGACGCUGAGGCACGAAAGUGUGGGGAGCAAACAGG
rnacentral:rRNA from 1 species